rnacentral:rRNA from 1 species
GAGCUUGCUCCUUUGACGUUAGCGGCGGACGGGUGAGUAACACGUGGGCAACCUACCUUAUAGUUUGGGAUAACUCCGGGAAACCGGGGCUAAUACCGAAUAAUCUAUUUUACUUCAUGGUGAAAUACUGAAAGACGGUUUCGGCUGUCGCUAUAAGAUGGGCCCGCGGCGCAUUAGCUAGUUGGUGAGGUAACGGCUCACCAAGGCGACGAUGCGUAGCCGACCUGAGAGGGUGAUCGGCCACACUGGGACUGAGACACGGCCCAGACUCCUACGGGAGGCAGCAGUAGGGAAUCUUCCACAAUGGGCGAAAGCCUGAUGGAGCAACGCCGCGUGAGUGAAGAAGGUUUUCGGAUCGUAAAACUCUGUUGUAAGGGAAGAACAAGUACAGUAGUAACUGGCUGUACCUUGACGGUACCUUAUUAGAAAGCCACGGCUAACUACGUGCCAGCAGCCGCGGUAAUACGUAGGUGGCAAGCGUUGUCCGGAAUUAUUGGGCGUAAAGCGCGCGCAGGCGGUCCUUUAAGUCUGAUGUGAAAGCCCACGGCUCAACCGUGGAGGGUCAUUGGAAACUGGGGGACUUGAGUGCAGAAGAGGAAAGUGGAAUUCCAAGUGUAGCGGUGAAAUGCGUAGAGAUUUGGAGGAACACCAGUGGCGAAGGCGACUUUCUGGUCUGUAACUGACGCUGA